rnacentral:tRNA from 1 species
GGGUAGGGUAUAGCUUAGUGGUAGAGCGCAUGCUUAGCAUGCAUGAGGUCCUGGGUUCAAUCCCCAGUACCUCCA